GUGGGUGUGGCCUAAUUGGUCAAGGCACCUGGUUGUGGCCCAGGCGAUUGCGGGUUCGAGUCCCGUCACUCACC
rnacentral:tRNA from 1 species